rnacentral:misc_RNA from 1 species
GGAAUUUCUUCACGUAUCGAGGCCAGAUUCUUGCGAUUGUCUGAGAUGAACUUAUGCAGUCCGUUGGCAUCCAUUUCCCGACAUAAUUUGCUUAGUGGUGAGCAAGGAAUGGCAUCCACAUUGCUAUUUUCAGCAGGCAUCACAUGAUCUGGUUCAGUGUUGGCAGUCAUAACAUCUGACCUUUCUUCCACUACAGAAUGCAGCAUGCUAUCACAUGCCCCAUCAUCAAUGGGUUGUGAAGGGUGGUUAUUGCAUUUCUCAAACAUGGCAAACAAAGCAGCAUUUCUUUUCUCUUGUAGCCUCUCCAAUGAAGCUUGCUCCUUCGCCACAACAACAGCUUC